CAGAGAGUAGUUUAAUGUAAAAUGCCAGCUUUGGGAGUUGGUGAUGGGGGUUAAGACCCCUCUCUUUGA
rnacentral:tRNA from 1 species